rnacentral:lncRNA from 1 species
GGUGACAGAUGCAAAACCUCCCCAAGGGGGAGUCAUUAUUAUUAUUAUUUUCUGGUGCAUUUAGAACUCGGUUCUCACUGUUGGGCUAGGCGUGCAGGGAAUGGAGGCGCCUGUGGGCUUGUGGGCCGAGGGAGGCCUGGCCUGCAGAGCAGGAGCAGCUUUGAGUUUGCAAGGCCAGAGGGCUCAGCCCUGCAAAAACAGGACAAGGAAGUGAGUGAGCCUGGCUGGGAGGCAGUUGGGGAGGGGAGGGGGGUGAGUUUUCUAGAAAGAGCUUCUCCCAGGCAGCAGCCCAAGGGCUGGGCCUCUAGCAGGAGAAAAUCCAGUUUGGAAACCCGGAGGGCAGAGGACACGUUGUGGCCGUUGCAGGCGAUCAUUGCAAAAAUAAACACAGGUGCAGCCUGGGGCCCUUGCGGGAGGCUGCAGGUGGCUGCGGGAGAGCCACAUUUUACUCCCAAAGGGGGGGAGUGGGGGGGUGGGGGGGAGGGUGGUGGUGGUGGAGGAUCUCUUUUCAGAACCAGUUUCAAGGUGAAGAGUCUGGUUCACCUGAAUAAAAGAAGCUGGACUGAACUCAUCAAUAUUCAUGGUCUGCUAGGGACGCUAUACCAACAUUUCACGGAGGGUGGCUGGGGGGACGGGGUGCUGGGGGAGGUGGGGGGGUGUGCCCUAAACAGCUGACAUUUACUUCUCACAGGUCUGGGGGCGGGGAAGUCCAGGAGCACCAUGCCAGGCCAAUUCCUGCUCUGGUGAGAGCUCCCUUCCAGGCUUGCCGCUGGCUGCCUUCUUGCUGCGUCCUCACAGGGCAGACAGAGCUCUGGUGUCUCCUCCUCUUAGAAGCACUUCAAUCCCACCUUGAGGACCCCACUCUCAUGACCUCAUCUAAACCUAAUUACCUCCCAAAGAGCCAGUCUCGGAAGACCAGCACACUGGGGAUUAAGGCUUUGUCAUAUGGAUUUGGGGUGGGGCAUGGCACGCGUCACUUGCAGCACUAUCUACACCGUAUUCCUACUUAUUCCUCUCUCCUAUGUUACCCACCUGUUCCUAUUAUUCCUAUUAUAUAUAUAUAUACCACCCAACCAUUAGUGGAUGACAAUAGGCAGCUAGACAAUAGUUCAUGAGUAAGUACAUAUAUCUAUAGCUACUUACAUAUAAAGAAACAUACGUAAAUAUAUAUAGAUAUUCAUUAUGGACUGUUGCCCAUUUGCCUAUUAUCUGUUAUUGUUGUUAUCCGCGGAUGGGUGGGUGGGCUACAUCUAUGUUGUCUAAUAGAACUUUCUGCAGGGAUAGAAAUAUUCCAAAUCUGUGCUCUUUAAUAUGGAAGUCAUUAGACAAAUGUGGCUGUUGAGACUUGACACGUGGCUAAUACAACUAAGGAAAUGAAUUGUAAAUUUUAUUGCGUUUUCAUUAUUAUAUUUCAGUUUAAAGAGCCACAUGGGUUACUGGCUACUGUAUUGGACAGUGCAGAGCUAGACCGAGGUGUAUAUACAGUUUCCUCUUUAUUCAAUUUUUUUUUUUAAUUUUUUUUAUUUAUUUUAUGAUAGUCACAGAGAGAGAGAGAGAGGGGCAGAGACAUAGGCAGAGGGAGAAGCAGGCUCCAUGCACCGGGAGCCCGAUGUGGGAUUCGAUCCCGGGUCUCCAGGAUCGCGCCCUGAGCCAAAGGCAGGCGCCAAACCGCUGCGCCACCCAGGGAUCCCUCCUCUUUAUUCAAUUGAUUGGUUGUGUUGAGUUUGGAAA